UUUCAGGCUCUGCUGUGUCAAGUCGGGGAGCGGCUCUUUGCUCAGCUUAGAGAACUGGAAGAGGCCGCAACCUUCUGCCUGCUGGAGGCUGGAGGAUGGAUGGAGCCUGGAGCCUGGGACACUACCUUGCUGUGGUUGGUGGUGGCGACAGAGCAGUAAGAGGGUGGCCGGCAGCAGGAGCUUGUCCUGCUGGGCUGGAGGACUAGGAGAAGGAAGAGGCACCACCACAUGCUGGAGGCUGAAGCCUGGAGUCUGUGCCACCAUGGCUCGCCUCGCUGUGGUUGGUGGUGACGCUGGAGACUGCAGCUGGGCCACAGUGGUAGAAAUGUGAUGGGGUUGGAAACACUCUCUUUACGGAAUCUGCAAAUGGACAUUUCAGAGCCUAUUGAGGCCUACACUGAAAAACCAAAUAUCCUGCAAUAAAAACUACAAAUAAGCUACCUGUGAAAAUGUUUUGUGAGGUUUGGAUUCAUCUCACAGAUUUAACCCUUUGUUUUGAUUCAGCAGGUAGGAAACUCUUUUUCUAAGAUCUACUCUGAGACAUUUCUGAGCCCAAUGAGGCCUAUAGUGAAAAACUGAAUAUCCCACUUUAAAAACCAGAAACAAGCUAUUUGAAAAUAUGCUUUGCAAUAUGUGGAUUUCUCUCACAGAGUUAUACCUGUGUUUUGAUUCUGUAGGUUGAAAAAAUUCUUGUUAUAGAAUCUAUGAGGGGAUAUUUCAAAGUGCACUGAGGCCUAUAGUGAAAAACAGAAUAUGCCAUGAUGAAAACUAGAAAGAAGCUAUUUGUGAAAAUGCUUUGUGAUGUGUGGAUUUAUCUCACAGAGUUAAGCCUUUGUUUUUAUUUUGCAGGUUGGAAAUACUCUUGUUGUAGAAUCUAUGAAGGGACAUUUCAGAGCUCAUUGAGGCCUAUAGAGAAAAAUCAAAUAUCCUGCGAUAAAAACUGUAAAGAAGCUACCUCUGAAAAUACUUUGUGAUGUGUGAUUUUAUCUCAGAAGUUGAACUUUUCAUUUGAUUCUGCAGGUUGGAAUCACUAUUUUUCUUAGAAUCUAUGAAAAGACAUUUUGGAGCAAAAUGAGGACUAUAAUGAAAAAUUGAAUAUCCCACAAUAAAAAUUAGAAACAAGCUGUCUGUGAAAAUGCUUGGCAAUGUGUGGAUUCAUCUCACACAUCUCACAGAGUUAAACCUUUGUUUUGAUUCAGCAGGCCAAAAUUACUCUUUUGGUAAAAUCUACGAAGGAACAUUUUGGAGCCCAUUGAUGCCUGAGGUAAAAAACUGAAAACUGAAUAUCUUGUGAUAAAAACUAGAAACAAGCUUUCUGUGAAAAUGCUUUACAAUGCAUCAUUUUAUGUCACAGAGUUAAAUCUUUGUUUUGAUUCAGCUGGUUAAAAACACUCUUGUAGAAACUAUGAGAGGACAUUUCAGAACAUGUUGAAGUCUAUAGUGAAUAACAAAAUAUCCCGCAAUAAAAACUAGAAGCAAGCUAUCUAUGAAAAUGCUUUGUGAUGUGUGCAUUUAUCUUGCAGAUCUAAACAUUGUUUUGAUUCAUCAGGUGAGAAACACCCUUUUGAUGCAAUGUACAAACGGACGUUUCAGAGCCCACUGAGCCCCAUAGUCAUAAAACCAAAUAUCCUGCUAUAAAACUGGAAACGAGCUAUCUGUGAAAAUGUUUUGUGAUGUGUGGAUUCAUCUCAUAUAGUUAACCCUUUAUUUUGAUUCAGCAGGAUGAAAACACUCUUUGUGUAAAACCUACAAAAGGGAGGUUGGAAACACUCUUAUUGUGAAAUUUACGAAGGGACAUUUUGGAGCCCACUGAAGCCUAUGUGAAAAACCAAAUAUCUCACCAUUAAAACUAGCUAAACAAACUACCCAUGAAAAUGCUUGGCCAUAUGUGGAAUAAUUUUACAGAGUUAAAUCUUUGUUUUUAUUCAGCAAGUUGGAAAUGCUCUCUUGUACAAUCUACGAGGGGACAUUUUGGAGCCCAUUGAGGCCUAUAGUAAAAAAUCAAGUGUCCCGUAAUAAAAACUACAAAGAAUCUAUGUCUGAAAAUGUUCUGUAAUGUAUGAUUUUAUCUCACAGAGUUAAACUGUUGUUUUGUUUCAGCAGGUUGGAAACUCUCUUUUGGUAGAAUCUUCAAAGAGACAUUUGAGAGCCCAUUGAGGCUUGGAGUGAAAAACCAAAUAUCCAGCAAUAAAAACUAGAAACAAGCAAUCUGCAAAAAUGCUUUGUGAUGUGUUCAUUUAUUUUGCAGAGUUAAAACUUCAUUUUGAUUCAACAGGUUAAAAACACUCUUGUAGAAUAUAGGAAGUGACAUUUCUAAGCCCAUUGAGGCCUAUACUGAAAAACUGAAUAUCUCACAACAAAAACUAGAAAAAAAUCUAUCUGUGAAAAUACUUUGCAAUGUGAGGAUUUAUCUCACAGAGGUAAGCCUUUGUAUUAAUACAGCAGGCUGGAAACACUCUUUUUGUAAAAUCUACAAAGGGACAUUUCAUAGACCAUUGAGGCCUACAGUGAAAGAUCAAAUAUUUUGUGAUUAAAACUAGAAAAAAGCUAUCUGUUAAAAUGCUUUGCAAUGUUUGGAUUCAUUUUACAGAGUUAAGCCUUUGUUUGGAUUCAGCAGGUUGAAAACACUCUUUUUGUAGAAUCAACAUAGGGACAUUUCAGAGCACAUUGAGGCCUACGGUGAAAAACCCAACAUCCCAUGAUAAAAACUAGAUUCAAGCUAUCUGUAAACAUGCUAUGCAAUGUCUGGAUUAGCCCAAAAAAGUUAAACCUUUAAUUUGAUUCAGCAAGUAGGAAACACUGUUCUUGUAGAAUCUAAGAAGGGACACUUCAGAGCCCAUUUAGGCCUAGAGUGAAAACCCACUUAUCCUGCGAUAAAAACUAGAAACAAGCUAUCUGUGAAAAUCUUUUCUGAUGUGGGCAUUCAUCUCAAAGAGUUAAACCUUUCUUUUGAUUCAGCAGGUUGGAAACACUCUUUUAGUAGAAUCUACAGAGGGACAGUUUGGAACCUAUUUAGACCCAUAGUCAAAAAAGCAAAUAUCCCACAAUAAAAACUAGUAACAAGCUAUCUGUGAAAAUGCUUUGCAAUGUGGGGAUUCAUCUCACAGAGUCAAACCUUUGUUUGGAUUCAGCAGGAUGAAAACACACUUUUUGUAAAUCUACAAAGAGGACUUUGGAAAAACUCUUUUUAUGAAUCUACAAAGGGACAUUUUGGAGCCCAUUCAGGUCUACAGUAGAAAACCAAAUAUUCCAGGAUAAAAACUAAAAACAAGCUAUCUGUGAAAAUGCUUCUUGAUGUGUGCAUUCACCAAAUAUAGGUAAACUUUUUUUUUGAUUCAGCAGGUUGGAAACCCUCUUUUUAUAGAAUCUACAAAGGGGCAUUUCGAAGCCCAUUGAGGCCUAUAGUGAAAAAUUGAACAUUCAACAAUAAAAACUAGUAACAAGCUAUAUUUGAAAUUGCUUUGUGAUGUGUGGGUUCAUCUCACUGUUACAUCAUCAUUUUGAUUUAGCAGGUUGGAAAUGCUCUUUUGUAGAAUCUAUGAAGGAACAUUUGGAAUCGCAUUAAAGCCUAUAGAGAAAAACUGAAUAUUCUGCAAUAAAAACUAGGAACGAGGUAUCUGUGAAAAUGCUCUUCGAUGUGUGCAUUCAUCUCACAGAGAUAAACAUUUCUUUUGAGUCAUCAGAUUGGAAACUCUUU
rnacentral:lncRNA from 10 species